rnacentral:rRNA from 1 species
UGGGGAAUCUUGCGCAAUGGGCGAAAGCCUGACGCAGCAACGCCGCGUGCGGGAUGACGGCCUUCGGGUUGUAAACCGCUUUCAGUGGGGACGAAAUCAGACGGUACCCACAGAAGAAGCCCCGGCCAACUACGUGCCAGCAGCCGCGGUAACACGUAGGGGGCGAGCGUUGUCCGGAAUCAUUGGGCGUAAAGAGCUCGUAGGCGGCUCGGUAAGUCGGGUGUGAAACCCCCAGGCUCAACCUGGGGACGCCACCCGAUACUGCUGUGGCUAGAGUCCAGUAGGGGAGUGUGGAAUUCCCGGUGUAGCGGUGAAAUGCGCAGAUAUCGGGAGGAACACCAGCGGCGAAGGCGGCACUCUGGGCUGGAACUGACGCUGAGGAGCGAAAGCGUGGGUAGCAAAC